rnacentral:miRNA from 1 species
UUGGCAUCCUGAAGACACAUUGUU